UACGUAGGGAGCGAGCGUUGUCCGGAUUUAUUGGGCGUAAAGGGCGCGUAGGCGGUUUGUUAAGUCGGCUGUGAAAGCCUGGGGCUCAACCCCAGAGGGUCGGCCGAUACUGGCAAACUAGAGUACGGAAGAGGUAGCUGGAAUUCCCGGUGUAGCGGUGAAAUGCGUAGAGAUCGGGAGGAACACCAGUGGCGAAGGCGGCUCGCUGGGCCGGACCUGACGCUGAGGCGCGAAGGCGUGGGGAGCGAACGGG
rnacentral:rRNA from 1 species